GAUGAACGCUGGCGGCGUGCCUAAUACAGGCAAGUCGAGCGAACGGACGAGAAGCUUGCUUUUCUGAUGUUAGCGGCGGACGGGUGAGUAACACGUGGAUAACCUACCUAUAAGACUGGGAUAACUUCGGGAAACCGGAGCUAAUACCGGAUAAUAUUUUGAACCGCAUGGUUCAAAAGUGAAAGACGGUCUUGCUGUCACUUAUAGAUGGAUCCGCGCUGCAUUAGCUAGUUGGUAAGGUAACGGCUUACCAAGGCAACGAUGCAUAGCCGACCUGAGAGGGUGAUCGGCCACACUGGAACUGAGACACGGUCCAGACUCCUACGGGAGGCAGCAGUAGGGAAUCUUCCGCAAUGGGCGAAAGCCUGACGGAGCAACGCCGCGUGAGUGAUGAAGGUCUUCGGAUCGUAAAACUCUGUUAUUAGGGAAGAACAUAUGUGUAAGUAACUGUGCACAUCUUGACGGUACCUAAUCAGAAAGCCACGGCUAACUACGUG
rnacentral:rRNA from 1 species